rnacentral:rRNA from 1 species
UGCAAGUCGAACGAACUCUUCGGAGUUAGUGGCGGACGGGUGAGUAACACGUGGGAACGUGCCUUUAGGUUCGGAAUAACUCAGGGAAACUUGUGCUAAUACCGAAUGUGCCCUUCGGGGGAAAGAUUUAUCGCCUUUAGAGCGGCCCGCGUCUGAUUAGCUAGUUGGUGAGGUAAAGGCUCACCAAGGCGACGAUCAGUAGCUGGUCUGAGAGGAUGAUCAGCCACAUUGGGACUGAGACACGGCCCAAACUCCUACGGGAGGCAGCAGUGGGGAAUCUUGCGCAAUGGGCGAAAGCCUGACGCAGCCAUGCCGCGUGAAUGAUGAAGGUCUUAGGAUUGUAAAAUUCUUUCACCGGGGACGAUAAUGACGGUACCCGGAGAAGAAGCCCCGGCUAACUUCGUGCCAGCAGCCGCGGUAAUACGAAGGGGGCUAGCGUUGCUCGGAAUUACUGGGCGUAAAGGGAGCGUAGGCGGACAUUUAAGUCAGGGGUGAAAUCCCGGGGCUCAACCUCGGAAUUGCCUUUGAUACUGGGUGUCUUGAGUAUGAGAGAGGUGUGUGGAACUCCGAGUGUAGAGGUGAAAUUCGUAGAUAUUCGGAAGAACACCAGUGGCGAAGGCGACACACUGGCUCAUUACUGACGCUGAGGCUCGAAAGCGUGGGGAGCAAACAGGAUUAGAUACCCUGGUAGUCCACGCCGUAAACGAUGAUUGCUAGUUGUCGGGAUGCAUGCAUUUCGGUGACGCAGCUAACGCAUUAAGCAAUCCGCCUGGGGAGUACGGUCGCAAGAUUAAAACUCAAAGGAAUUGACGGG